rnacentral:misc_RNA from 1 species
CACCCACACGUGCGGCUCCGAGGUACUGUGGUCUCCUUCACUCCUGCUGCUCCCACCCCAAUCGCAUUGUGCGCUUUGGUCGCCACCUCGCACAGGUAACCGCGAAGCAACCCUCUCCUCUGGCGGUCGUGCGUGUUUGUGCGUCUCUUCUGUUGCGCACUGUGCAGAUAGACCUCAGCGCAGACAUAUAUAUAUAUAUAUAUAUCAGGGCACAUUGGCAGCCGUUGUGGUAGCCUGUCCUCUCUAUUUAUCCACCCUCCCCCCCCCUCCCCUCGAGAGCAGGCACACGCAGCGCCAUGGCAGAGGGUGGCAUUGGCGGCAGCGACGAGAGCUUCAUCUCGUUCGCGUUUGCGGUGACGUCGGUCAUUCUCAUUGUGCUCUACAUACCAUGGAUGAUCGGGAAGGCACGCCGGUUAGUGCUCUACUAUCAGUCGACAAAGAAGGAGCAGGCGAGCAUGGUAAACCCAUUGACGGAGCUGUGGGACUCCGCAACGUACAUUCCGCGUGUGCUGCACGCCGUCGCCCAGGACCCAUUGACGAUCGUUGCCGGUGCUAAGGUGUGCACUGCAGAGAAAGUCUUUUUUCUCCGUUGCGUGAUGCCGAAGUUUCUUAAGUUUGUCAUCCGCCCUCGCAUACUGUUGCCGAUAGUUUGGUUUGUACUCUUUUCCUCCGCCAUGUACGCCUCCCUCACAUUCGAUCCGCACGCCAUUCUUGGACUGCCAUCCUCGGCCUCCACCGCUGAGAUUCGGAAGACGUAUCGUGCCCUCUCCAAGCGGUACCACCCCGAUCACAACAAGACGGAAGGCGCCCGUGAGCUGUACGUUCAGGUGCGUCGCGCCUACAAGGCGCUCGUGGACCGUGAAGCAUUUGAGGAGGAGGAGAGACAGACGGUUCAGGAGUUCUCUGUUGGUGUGGCGCUCCCGCGUUUUCUGACUUCUCGCGAGCAUGACGGGCUCGUGCUGUUUGGCCUCCUUGGACUUCUCAUCGGUCUGCCCAUCUACAUCUGGUACACCUUCACAAACGACAAGAAAGUUCCGCGGCUGCUCUGGCACAUCCGCUUCGACAAGGAGCGCGUCGAGCACUUCCUGCAGCACUUCGGCAUCCCUAUCGAUCCCAAGUACGUUGCGCGGCGCAACUCACGCCGCGCCAUUCUGCAGACCCUCGUCGCACUCAACAUCGUGCCACCGAACGUGCGCGAGGACAUUGUGAAUGCGUUUCCUCCGCUCCCCGAUUUCGUGCAGCGGUGCAUCGAGGCCGAGAAGAACGCGGCGUUGUUCCGCAACUUGGGUCUCGAUGCCAAGGCGGUCGGCACUCUGCAGUCGUACAUGGCUGUGAACGGCGUCAAAAUCGUGGACGAGUACGAGGCGGCGAACCCGCUGAAUAGCGAGGAGCCCAAGGCGGACGACUUUCAUCGUAUUCCACUUUCAGCGUAUCGUGCCACCCGCUAUCUCUUCCAGCAGCACACGGUUCAAGUAGACCGUGCGCUGGAGGAGCUUCAGGUGGCGAUGGGCGGCAACGUGCCAAGUGCCAAGAAACUGUUGAAUCUGCAUGAUGAGCUCUACGAUCUGCUCGACAUGGUGUACCUGCGCUCCGAGAAGCCCAACAAGCAACUCGUCAUGAAGCUUAUCGCGGUGCCCCAACGGGUGUCGGACAUUAUCGACGCCAUAGAGCCCGAGUUGCAGCUUGUCUACCACCGAUACUACAAAAACUACAUGAACCAGAUUCAGCAGCAGCAGCGCGCCGCCCGCGGCGGGGGUGCGCGCCAGCACUAGUACGUUUCUCAUCGUCAUGUCUUCCUUUUUUUUGCCCCGCAUCUCAUGAUAGAUCCUCGAUGACGGGAGGGAGGGAACACACCUCAGUGCGGUGGUGUAACAGAGCUCAGUGCCCCAGCCCUUCGGGUGCAUGGGAAGAAGCCAAGCAGCCCCUCCUCCAUCCCCUGCCAAUGCAGCGCUGCACUUCCUCUGGUGCUGACAGGGUCCACGUGCCCACGACGUAGGGAAGCCAGUGCGCUGCAUCGCGACGGAUGUCGGCGGUGUGUCAGGUCCUGGAUGGCGUUGCGUCGGAGCGGCCUGCGGCAGUGCCGACGCGUCUGCGCGGCUCCAGCGCAUCCGUCACCCGGCCCUCACCACCGCCUGCUGGUGUGGGAAGCCUGAGCGUCACCCCCUCCCUCUCCGAGGAGGGAUGCCGCAGGUGGCGGCCGGCAUGAUGGGAGCGGCUGUGAGGCGGCCUGCGAGGCAGCGGGGGGGGGCGGGAGGAGGUCGGUGGAGCUUGAGGCAGGGGGGCCGUGCUCUCGGAUGGCUGAGUCGGCGCGUUGCCGCAAAGCGUGUGUGCCGCGCUGCGUCGCAGGACUCGGUGAGGCCUGUGGCCGGCCGGCGGUGACGCGGAGUGGAGUUUGGCUCGUGUAUGGCAGAGAAUGGGCACGUUGGCGCACAGCAAUGUAAAUACAUAUAUAUAUGUGUCCCAUGCGCAUAGUAGCGGCGGCAGCUGUAGAAGAAAGCGAAGCAAAGAAAAAGGAGGCGAGGCGCACAGAGGGAUCUCUCGAAUGUGCGGUAGUUCUCUGGGACGCUUAGUUUAUAUAUGUAUAUGUGUGUGUGUAUGUGCCGACGUUGGGGAUUUUGUGUAGUGUUUGUGCCGAUGACAUGGUGUGAUUUCUCUUGGGCCUUUUCAUCACCGAUGCGUAGCAGUGAAGGUACGCCUUGUUUGCUAUAACGGAGGGAAGGAGGCGAAAGAGGUGCUGGAGGCACCGCUGAUCAUAGUUCAGCCUGCCACUCCUGUUUCCUUUUUAUCAGCCUCCUUGUUGUGUAACGGGGGAAAGAGAGGCAGAGGGAGGGCUGGGAAUGCACCACUGGCACCGUGAAGCCGAUGCUCUCCUAGAGCACAGGAGUGAUGUACCUCGCACUGUAUCGCACGGCUUCACAAAAGAGGGAUCUGCACCCGCGACGGCGGCGGGUCGUCUCAUUCAUGUGUAACUAAGCGUUUCUUUUCCGUUUAGGCGGCAGCCCUACUUCGAAUCUGUCCCCACGCAUCGCUGGACCUACUUCCUUGACGCAGAUGUCGCUCAUCUUCGGCGCUUUUUUUUCUUCGUCAUGAUCGUCACCCUCACGCCACUCUCCCCCUCUCCUUCCCCCCCCACACACACACUUGAUGCACAUGCACACAUGAGAAG